rnacentral:rRNA from 1 species
AGAAUCAACGCUGGCGGCGUGCCUAACACAUGCAAGUCGCACGAGAAAGGGUAGCAAUACCUGAGUACAGUGGCGCACGGGUGAGUAACACGUGAAUAAUCUACCUCCGAGUGGGGAAUAACUGAGAGAAAUCUUAGCUAAUACCGCAUAACACUUACGAGUCAAAGCAGCAAUGCGCUUGGAGAGGAGUUCGCGGCAGAUUAGUUAGUUGGCGGGGUAAUGGCCCACCAAGACGAUGAUCUGUAUCCGGCCUGAGAGGGCGCACGGACACACUGGAACUGAAACACGGUCCAGACUCCUACGGGAGGCAGCAGUGGGGAAUUUUGCGCAAUGGGGGAAACCCUGACGCAGCAACGCCGCGUGGAGGAUGAAAUCCCUUGGGAUGUAAACUCCUUUCGAUCGGGAAGAUAAUGACGGUACCGAGAGAAGAAGCCCCGGCUAACUUCGCGCCAGCAGCCGC